UACGUAGGGGGCUAGCGUUGUCCGGAAUCAUUGGGCGUAAAGCGCGUGUAGGCGGCCCGAUAAGUCCGCUGUGAAAGUCCAGGGCUCAACCCUGGGAUGCCGGUGGAUACUGUCGGGCUCGAGUCCGGAAGAGGCGAGUGGAAUUCCUGGUGUAGCGGUGAAAUGCGCAGAUAUCAGGAGGAACACCAAUGGCGAAGGCAGCUCGCUGGGACGUGACUGACGCUGAGACGCGAAAGCGUGGGGAGCAAAAGGG
rnacentral:rRNA from 1 species